rnacentral:rRNA from 1 species
CUACGGGUGGCAGCAGUGGGGAAUAUUGGGCAAUGGGCGCAAGCCUGACCCAGCAACGCCGCGUGAGGGAAGAAUGUCUUCGGAUUGUAAACCUCUGUCCUUGGGGACGAAAAAAAUGACGGUACCCAAGGAGGAAGCUCCGGCUAACUACGUGCCAGCAGCCGCGGUAAUACGUAGGGAGCAAGCGUUGUCCGGAAUUAUUGGGCGUAAAGGGUGCGUAGGCGGCGCUGCAAGUCAGAUGUGAAAUCCCCGGGCUUAACUCGGGAGUUGCAUUUGAAACUGCAGUGCUUGAGUGAAGAAGAGGCAAGUGGAAUUCCUAGUGUAGCGGUGGAAUGCGUAGAUAUUAGGAGGAACACCAGUGGCGAAGGCGACUUGCUGGUCUUUUACUGACGCUGAGGCACGAAAGCGUGGGGAGCAAACAGGAUUAGAUACCCUAGUAGUC